rnacentral:rRNA from 1 species
CACACCGCCCGUCGCUACUACCGAUUGAAUGGCUCAGUGAGGCUUUCGGACUGGCCCAGAGGAGUCGGCAACGACACCUCAGGGCCGGAAAGUUAUCCAAACUCGGUCAUUUAGAGGAAGUAAAAGUCGUAACAAGGUCUCCGUUGGUGAACCAGCGGAGGGAUCAUUAUAGAGUUAGCAAACUCCUAAACCUAUGUGAACUUACUUACGUUGCCUCGGCAGGAGAAGCCUACCCGGUAAGCUACCCGGGACUUACCCUAUAGUUGCUCUCCCGGUAGCUACCCGGGAGCUACCCGGUAGUUAAUGGCGGACCUGUCGAAGGACAAACCUACAACUCCUGUUUUAAUCGUGGCAAUCUGAGUAACAAACUUAAUAAGCUAAAACUUUCAACAACGGAUCUCUUGGUUCUGGCAUCGAUGAAGAACGCAGCGAAAUGCGAUAAGUAAUGUGAAUUGCAGAAUUCAGUGAAUCAUCGAAUCUUUGAACGCACAUUGCGCCCAUUAGUAUUCUAGUGGGCAUGCCUGUUCGAGCGUCAUUUCGACCAUUAAGCCUUAGUUGCUUAGCGUUGGGGGCUUGUCUUUUCAACUCCUCAAAGUCAGUGGUAGGGCUCGUGUCGCCUCAAAGUGUAGUAAUUAUAUCCUCACUUGUAGAUGGCAGACGGGUAACGGCCAUAGGAAAUCCUUCCUUUUUAUUAUCUAGUGGUUGACCUCGGAUCAGGUAGGAAUACCCGCUGAACUUAAGCAUAUCAAUAAGCGGAGGAAAAGAAACCAACAGGGAUUGCCCUAGUAACGGCGAGUGAAGCGGCAACAGCUCAAAUUUGAAAUCUGACCCUCGGGUCCGAGUUGUAAUUUGUAGAGGAUGCUUUUGGUGCGGCGCCUUCCGAGUUCCCUGGAACGGGACGCCAUAGAGGGUGAGAGCCCCGUACGGUUGGAUGCCUAGCCUCUGUAAAGCUCCUUCGACGAGUCGAGUAGUUUGGGAAUGCUGCUCUAAAUGGGAGGUAAAUUUCUUCUAAAGCUAAAUACCGGCCAGAGACCGAUAGCGCACAAGUAGAGUGAUCGAAAGAUGAAAAGCACUUUGAAAAGAGGGUUAAAUAGCACGUGAAAUUGUUGAAAGGGAAGCGCUCAUGACCAGACUUUUUGCCUGGCGGAUCACCCGGCGUUCUCGCCGGUGCACUUCGUCAGGCUGAGGCCAGCAUCGAUUUCUGUAAGGGGAUAAAGACUUCGGGAAAGUAGCUUCCUUCGGGGAGUGUUAUAGCUCGCUGUGUAAUACCUUUACGGGGAUCGAGGUUCGCGCUCCUGCAAGGAUGCUGGCAUAAUGGUCAUCAGCGACCCGUCUUGAAACACGGACCAAGGAGUCGAACAUUUAUGCGAGUGUUUGGGUGUUAAACCCUCACGCGUAAUGAAAGUGAACGGAGGUGAGAGCCCUCAAGGGUGCAUCAUCGACCGAUCCUGAUGUCUUCGGAUGGAUUUGAGUAAGAGCAUAACUGUUCGGACCCGAAAGAUGGUGAACUAUGCGUGGAUAGGGUGAAGCCAGAGGAAACUCUGGUGGAGGCUCGCAGCGGUUCUGACGUGCAAAUCGAUCGUCAAAUCUGCGCAUGGGGGCGAAAGACUAAUCGAACCAUUAACGGAGACGCCAGCGGUAAAUAAUUAUUUACUAGGUGGUUUAGAGGCCUCUCGCGAGAGCAGGCCUAGGUCGGAGCUUACCCGGAACCUACCCGGUAGCUACCCGGCAACUACCCUAUAGUUGCUUACCCGGGAGCUACCCUGUGGUUAGGGUAGCCCACCGACACCGCUAAAUUGCGGGGACAUCCUACAGAAGGCUCCGGGCUACCGCCGCACGCUGAAAAGCGCCUGCGGCACCAAGAGUAACGCUCUUGGGUACGGUAAUAACGCCCGGGGUAUCGGACGACCUGCAGCCAAUCCCGUCAGCCCUGGAGGGGCCCAGGGGAGAGUUCACUGACUAAACAGCGGUGGGUCCCGCGGCGGGGUGUCGCGGGGCUUAAGACAUAGUCGAUCCGGGCCCUGAAAAGGUGACCCUAAAGCAGAAUACUAGCGAG